rnacentral:rRNA from 1 species
GACGAACGCUGGCGGCGUGCUUAACACAUGCAAGUCGUACGGUAAGGCCCUUUCGGGGGUACACGCGUGGCGAACGGGUGAGUAACACGUGAGUAACCUGCCCACCACUUUGGGAUAACGCUAGUAAACUGGUGCUAAUACUGGAUAUGUGCUCCUGCUGCAUGGUGGGGGUUGGAAAGCUCCGGCGGUUGGGGAUGGACUCGCGGCCUAUCAGCUUGUUGGUGGGGUAGUGGCCUACCAAGGCGGCGACGGGUAGCCGGCCUGAGAGGGUGACCGGCCAAAAUGGGACUGAGAUACGGCCCAGACUCCUACGGGAGGCAGCAGUGGGGAAUAUUGCACAAUGGGCGCAAGCCUGAUGCAGCAACGCCGCGUGCGGGAUGAAGGCCUUCGGGUUGGAAACCGCUUUCAGCAGGGACGAAGCUGUUUGUGACGGUACCUGCAGAAGAAGCACCGGCUAACUACGUG